UACGUAGGGUGCAAGCGUUAAUCGGAAUUACUGGGCGUAAAGCGUGCGCAGGCGGUUUUGUAAGCCAGAUGUGAAAUCCCCGGGCUCAACCUGGGAAUGGCAUUUGGGACUGCAAGGCUGGAGUACGGCAGAGGAGACUGGAAUUCCUGGUGUAGCAGUGAAAUGCGUAGAUAUCAGGAGGAAUACCGAUGGCGAAGGCAGGUCUCUGGGCUGAUACUGACGCUCAUGCACGAAAGCGUGGGGAGCAAACAGG
rnacentral:rRNA from 1 species